AACGAACGCUGGCGGCAUGCCUAACACAUGCAAGUCGAACGAGACCUUCGGGGUCUAGUGGCGCACGGGUGCGUAACGCGUGGGAACCUGCCCUUAGGUUCGGAAUAACUCCCCGAAAGGGGUGCUAAUACCGGAUAAUGUCUUCGGACCAAAGAUUUAUCGCCUUUGGAUGGGCCCGCGUUGGAUUAGCUAGUUGGUAGGGUAAAAGCCUACCAAGGCGACGAUCCAUAGCUGGUCUGAGAGGAUGAUCAGCCACACUGGGACUGAGACACGGCCCAGACUCCUACGGGAGGCAGCAGUGGGGAAUAUUGGACAAUGGGCGAAAGCCUGAUCCAGCAAUGCCGCGUGAGUGAUGAAGGCCUUAGGGUUGUAAAGCUCUUUUACCCGGGAUGAUAAUGACAGUACCGGGAGAAUAAGCUCCGGCUAACUCCGUG
rnacentral:rRNA from 1 species